UGAGACAGGUGCUGCAUGGCUGUCGUCAGCUCGUGUUGUGAAAUGUUGGGUUAAGUCCCGCAACGAGCGCAACCCUUAUCCUUUGUUGCCAGCGAUUCGGUCGGGAACUCAAAGGAGACUGCCAGUGAUAAACUGGAGGAAGGUGGGGAUGACGUCAAGUCAUCAUGGCCCUUACGAGUAGGGCUACACACGUGCUACAAUGGCAUAUACAAAGAGAAGCGACCUCGCGAGAGCAAGCGGACCUCAUAAAGUAUGUCGUAGUCCGGAUUGGAGUCUGCAACUCGACUCCAUGAAGUCGGAAUCGCUAGUAAUCGUGGAUCAGAAUGCCACGGUGAAUACGUUCCCGGGCCUUGUACACACCGCCCGUCACACCAUGGGAGUGGGUUGCAAAAGAAGUAGGUAGCUUAACCUUCGGGAGGGCGCUUACCACUUUGUGAUUCAUGACUGGGGUGAAGUCGUAACAAGGUAACCGUAGGGGAACCUGCGGUUGGAUCACCUCCUUACCUGAAAGAA
rnacentral:rRNA from 2 species